rnacentral:misc_RNA from 1 species
UCCGAGUUUCUCUCGGCAGUCGGGUCUGAGAGGUACAACAGACCCCGAGGGUUGCGCUCGUUGCGGGACUUAACCCAACAUCUCACGACACGAGCUGACGACAGCCGUGCAACACCUGUACGAGCUCCCUUGCGGGUCGGUUCCCUUUCGGGUCCCUACCACUCGCAUGUCAAGUCUGGGUAAGGUUCUUCGCGUACCAUCGAAUUAAACCGCACGCUCCGCUGCUUGUGCGGGCCCCCGUCAAUUCCUUUGAGUUUUAACCUUGCGGUCGUACUCCCCAGGCGGGGCACUUAAUGCGUUAGCUUCGGCACUGCCGGGGUCGAUACCGACAACACCUAGUGCCCAUUGUUUACAGCUAGGACUAA